UACGGGGGGUGCGAGCGUUGUCCGGAAUCACUGGGCGUAAAGGGCGCGUAGGUGGUCUGAUAAGGGUGUGGUGAAAGCCCGGGGCUCAACCCCGGGUCGGCCGUGCCGACUGUUGGACUAGAGUGCUGUAGGGGCAGGCGGAAUUCCGGGUGUAGUGGUGGAAUGCGUAGAGAUCCGGAGGAAGACCGGUGGCGAAGGCGGCCUGCUGGGCAGUUACUGACACUGAGGCGCGACAGCGUGGGGAGCAAACAGG
rnacentral:rRNA from 1 species